rnacentral:lncRNA from 1 species
AUUAAAAUUAAAAAAUAAACAUAGAGUAAUUCAUCUCCGUCGAACCUCCAUUGAUGUCGUCUUACCUUGUCAAGGUCCACCGAUCUCGUCGUCUAUGUUCUUCGUUUCGACCCAUCACCUCACAAUCGAACCAUAUAUCAUUCGUUUUCUCUCCUUCAAACCCUAAAUUGCUCUUCGUUAUUAACACCUCUAUCAACCAUGUAACAAAAAAAAAACACCUCUAUCAACCACGCUCGAACACCAGAUUUGUCGCCCUCACCCCUUCUUCGAUGCCUUUCGUUGACAGAAAGAAAGAAACUAUCACGCAAAGGAGCUUUUUGCCAACCCCUUCACUGACGAGCUUCUGCCCUCAUACACAGGUUUGAUUUGAAACCCUAAUCUUGUCUGAUC